AGAGUUUGAUCAUGGCUCAGGAUGAACGCUAGCUACAGGCUUAACACAUGCAAGUCGAGGGGAAACGGACAUCGAAAGCUUGCUUUUGUAUGGGCGUCGACCGGCGCACGGGUGAGUAACGCGUAUCCAACCUGCCCACCCACUUGGGGAGUAACCUUGCGAAAGUAAGACUAAUACCCAACUGAUAUCUCUAGAAGACAUCUGAAAGAGAUUAAAGAUUUAUCGGUGAUGGAUGGGGAGUGCGUCUGAUUAGCUUGUUGGCGGGGUAACGGGCCCACCCAAGGCAACGAUCAGUAGGGGUUCUGAGAGGAAGGUCCCCCACAUUGGAACUGAGACACGGUCCAAACUCCUACGGGAGGCAGCA
rnacentral:rRNA from 1 species